GACGAACGCUGGCGGCGUGCUUAACACAUGCAAGUCGAACGGAGCGAAUGAAAGCUUGCUUUUAUGGGCUUAGUGGCAAACGGGUGAGUAACACGUAGACAACCUGCCGACAGGAUGGGGACAACAUUCCGAAAGGAAUGCUAAUACCGAAUGAAGUGCAGGGGAGGCAUCUCCCCUGCAUGAAAGAUGGCCUCUAUUUAUAAGCUAUCACCUGUCGAUGGGUCUGCGUCUGAUUAGCUGGUUGGUGAGGUAAGGGCUCACCAAGGCGACGAUCAGUAGCCGGUCUGAGAGGAUGAACGGCCACAUUGGGACUGAGACACGGCCCAGACUCCUACGGGAGGCAGCAGUGGGGAAUCUUCCGCAAUGGGCGCAAGCCUGACGGAGCAACGCCGCGUGAGUGAAGAAGGUCUUCGGAUCGUAAAGCUCUGUUGAUGGGGAUGAACGUACGGAGUGCGAAUAGUGCUU
rnacentral:rRNA from 1 species